GAUGAACGCUGGCGGCGUGCCUGAUACAUGCAAGUCGAGCGAACAGACGAGGAGCUUGCUCCUCUGACGUUAGCGGCGGACGGGUGAGUAACACGUGGAUAACCUACCUAUAAGACUGGGAUAACUUCGGGAAACCGGAGCUAAUACCGGAUAAUAUAUUGAACCGCAUGGUUCAAUAGUGAAAGACGGUUUUGCUGUCACUUAUAGAUGGAUCCGCGCCGCAUUAGCUAGUUGGUAAGGUAACGGCUUACCAAGGCAACGAUGCGUAGCCGACCUGAGAGGGUGAUCGGCCACACUGGAACUGAGACACGGUCCAGACUCCUACGGGAGGCAGCGGUAGGGAAUCUUCCGCAAUGGGCGAAAGCCUGACGGAGCAACGCCGCGUGAGUGAUGAAGGUCUUCGGAUCGUAAAACUCUGUUAUUAGGGAAGAACAAAUGUGUAAGUAACUAUGCACGUCUUGACGGUACCUAAUCAGAAAGCCACGGCUAACUACGUG
rnacentral:rRNA from 1 species